CGAAGGUGCGGGAGGUUCUCGGCUUGGGUAGGGGGAACCACCUCGAAGGCAGGCUGGUAACCAUCGUCCAUGGCAACGACCUGGUCAACAUCUCCUUCCUCAACUUCCAGGCGAUCCAUGAAGAUACAGCCAAGAUGUGGACGGAGGAGCUGUUCAAGCUGGCCACAAACAUACUUUCCCAGAAUGCAUCACGAAACACCUUCCUCUUCAAAGCGUACACAAAGUUAAAGUUGCAGUUGAAUCAGGAUGGGAAGAUUCCGAUGAAGAACAUUCUCAAGAUGUUUUCAGAUAAGAAGAAAGUGGAGACAGCUCUGGAGCAGUGCGGCCUCUUCAAUAGCAAAGUAAUCAUC